UACGUAGGGCGCAAGCGUUGUCCGGAAUUAUUGGGCGUAAAGAGCUCGUAGGCGGUUUGUCACGUCGGGUGUGAAAGCCCGGGGCUUAACCCCGGGUCUGCAUUCGAUACGGGCAGACUAGAGUGUGGUAGGGGAGAUCGGAAUUCCUGGUGUAGCGGUGAAAUGCGCAGAUAUCAGGAGGAACACCGGUGGCGAAGGCGGUUCUCUGGGCAUGUCCUGACGCUGAGGAGCGAAAGUGUGGGGAGCGAACAGG
rnacentral:rRNA from 1 species